CUACGGGUCGCUCCAGUGGGGAAUAUUGCACAAUGGAGGAAACCCUGAUGCAGCAACGCCGCGUGGAGGAUGACGCAUUUCGGUGUGUAAACUCCUUUUAUAUGUCAAGAAAAUGACGGUAGCAUAUGAAUAAGCACCGGCUAACUCCGUGCCAGCAGCCGCGGUAAUACGGAGGGUGCAAGCGUUACUCGGAAUCACUGGGCGUAAAGGACGCGUAGGCGGGUUGGAAAGUCAGGUGUGAAAUCCUACAGCUUAACUGUAGAACUGCAUUUGAAACUUCUAAUCUAGAGUAUGGGAGGGGGAGAUGGAAUUAGUGGUGUAGGGGUAAAAUCCGUAGAUAUCACUAGGAAUACCUAAAGCGAAGGCGAUCUCCUGGAACAUUACUGACGCUAAGGCGUGAAAGCGUGGGGAGCAAACAGGAUUAGAUACCCCUGUAGUC
rnacentral:rRNA from 1 species